GGGAAGAUGAGUGAGGCAGAAAUACGUCAUCACCCUCCAGCCUGAAAGCUCUGUGUCACUCAUGACUGUUCCCUUUUUGGCCAACGUCAUUGGCCUUGGUGUCUCCUCUGCUGCCAUCUUUGUUCAUCUCUUUUUGGCCUAGUCCUCCAACUGGUCCCCUAAAGUCUAUUCUCCCUCUUCAACCAUGUUCCACACAGAUGGUGAAAUCCUUGAGGGGAAGCUUAUUUUGUUCACUUUAUCUUCUUUAAGAUCUCUCUGCAGAAAGAAGAAAGGUAUAAAUAAAAUGCUUUUUAUUUGUCUUUUAAACUCCAGUUUCCAGCAUGUGGAAGAUUCUCUAUAAGGAAUCAUUGAGCCCUGGCUGCUCCAUCCUGCAGAAUCAGUGAAUGAAGUAAUUUUGAAUUUACGUGAUUGUUGUAGAUUGUUUUCUCUGACCUUUGGAAUCACAGUUUAAACAUCUGGAAGCCACACUACUUGGAGCUGUGGAGUCUGGAGGAUGCCCCUAAAGAUCCACAGCCAUUCCUUAUUGGUUAAGCCCCAAUGCAAGUCUUAUACCGAGAGGGUUAUUUUACUGGGUUCCUGGUUACAUGGUUCUUGUAUUAUCCAAUCUGUUCAGCUAUUAAGGCCAGAUAUCUGUCUAAAAUGAACAGGCAGAUUUUUACUUUCUAAUGGUUCUAAGAUUCACUGAGAGCAACCUCCUUAGAGAAAAAGCAGUCAAAGGGAGUUCCAAUGGCAGUAUAUGAAUAAUACUUAACAGGCCCAAACCUGUAGCUGGUAAGAUAAAGUACAGAGAAAAUAUAGAAACUCUUUGGUUGGAAUGUUUUUAGCUGACAUAUUAAAUAUAGAAACUCUUUUGGUGGGACGUUUAUAACUAUAUCAGCAUAGGAAUGAGGAGUGAUUCGAACUAUUAAUUAUUAAGGAAUAUUACAAAGCAAAAAAACAGUAUUGUUCUGGUAUAAGGACAGACCAAUGGAACAGAUAUAGAGCUCAGAAAUAGAUCUGUGUGUAUAUGGGAAUUUGAUAUAUGAUAAAUGUGGUACCACAAAAAAAAAAAAUGAGAAAAGUGCCUUGUUUGUCAUUAGAAAAACUGGCUCAUUACUUGGAGAAAAAGCUGGACUUUUGCCUUAUACUGUAUGAAGAUGCACUAUACAUGGGUUAAAAAACCUAAGUGAGAAAGGUGAAAAUACAGAGACAGUAGAAGAAAAUGAAGAAUAUUUUUGUGAAAUUUAAUAAACCAUAAAAUCACAAAUAAUAAAUGAAAAAUUG
rnacentral:lncRNA from 1 species